rnacentral:rRNA from 1 species
GCAUAUCAAUAAGCGGAGGAAAAGAAACCAACAGGGAUUGCCUUAGUAACGGCGAAGUGAAGCGGCAACAGCUCAAAUUUGAAAUCUGGCUUCGGCCCGAGUUGUAAUUUGCAGAGGAAGCUUUAGGCGCGGCACCUUCUGAGUCCCCUGGAACGGGGCGCCAUAGAGGGUGAGAGCCCCGUAUAGUUGGAUGCCUAGCCUGUGUAAAGCUCCUUCGACGAGUCGAGUAGUUUGGGAAUGCUGCUCAAAAUGGGAGGUAAAUUUCUUCUAAAGCUAAAUACCGGCCAGAGACCGAUAGCGCACAAGUAGAGUGAUCGAAAGAUGAAAAGCACUUUGAAAAGAGGGUUAAAUAGCACGUGAAAUUGUUGAAAGGGAAGCGCUUGUGACCAGACUUGCGCCGGGCUGAUCAUCCGGUGUUCUCACCGGUGCACUCUGCCCGGCUCAGGCCAGCAUCGGUUCUCGCGGGGGGAUAAAGGCCCUGGGAACGUAGCUCCUCCGGGAGUGUUAUAGCCCGGGGCGCAAUGCCCUCGCGGGGACCGAGGUUCGCGCUCUGCAAGGAUG